UACGUAGGGGGCAAGCGUUAUCCGGAUUUACUGGGUGUAAAGGGGGCGCAGACGGCGAUGCAAGCCAGGAGUGAAAGCCCGGGGCCCAACCCCGGGACUGCUCUUGGAACUGCGUGGCUGGAGUGCAGGAGGGGCAGGCGGAAUUCCUGGUGUAGCGGUGAAAUGCGUAGAUAUCAGGAGGAACAUCAGUGGCGAAGGCGACUUUCUGGACUGUAACUGACGCUGAGGCACGAAAGUGUGGGGAGCAAACAGG
rnacentral:rRNA from 1 species